CACUGGAGCCCAGCCACCCCUGCUGGAUUAACCACACCUCCCAGGGUGCACCUCAGACAGGAAUAACCUGCAGUUUCUGUGGCAACAAAGCAACCUGACUUGGUGAGGUUUCAGGGUAACACCUUUCCACCCACCCCUUUUCUGAAUGUGGGAACGCUGGCAGUGGAAGCAAGCAAGAGCAUCAGCAAUGCAAAGCCCUUACUUCCAAGACCCUACUGAGACCUCGCGUCCUUUGUUUCCUCCCCUCUCUCUAGACAGCGGGCUUCCGGAAAGCACUUGCUCACGUCCCGCUGCGUGGUCGACCUGGGCUUUGGCCGUCGUGGGAAGGAGGACCAGCCAAGUCAUCUGUGGAACUGACAAUGGAAGACCGUCUCGGCUGGGGUCUCAGCCAUGGCUGCGCUUCAGGACGCCCUUGGCCACAGCCCAGACAGAUCUGAUCAGACUCCGGGGGCCAGGGCCAGACACCAGCAGUACGGCAAGCUCCCCAGGUGACUGCCGCUGGCGCAGAGCUGAGCGGUGCCACCUUCCAUCCAGUUCAUCAUGCCACCAGCACCCGGAGCACUCCCACGUCAUGACGGGCAAGAUGUGUCCUUGUCAUCAUUUACAAUGGAGCCAAGGACAGCGAGUCAGUCGCACACCAUACCAGACAGGAAACAAGGCACCCAGGGAGUCAGAGGCAUCAGGAAUGAUGGACCCCAGCUGGGGAACCGAAGGACAUGGCCAGAGGAGAUGGAGUUCGAGGUGGGCUUCUUAAGACAACAAAUACAGGGACAUAGGGCGUUAAGCCACCACCUGCGAUGCCAGCCUUCCAUAUAGGCGCCAGAUGCUGGUUUAAGUCCUGCCCAUUCUGCUUCCAAUCCAGCUCCCUGCUAAUGUGCUCGGAAAGCAGCAGAAGAUGGCUCAAGUGCUUGCACCCCUGCACCUGCGUAGGAGACCUGGAUGAAGCUCCUGGCUCCUGGCUUUGGCCUGGCCCAGCUCUGGCCACUGUAGCCAUUUUGGGGAGUGAACCAGCAGAUGGAAGAUCUCUCUGUCUCUUCCUCCCUCUCUGUAACUCUGUCUUUCAAACCAAUUAAUCAGUCAAUAAUAAUAAUAAUAAUAAUAAUAAUAAAGAUGCAUCCAGUUUUGACAGAGAGGGCAGGAGAAGCGAGCUGGGAGGAGAGAGCUGCUCUCACAGAAGCCACAGCCCACACGGGGGGUGCGGUCUGCCCGGGGGCCGGUAGGCAGGCCUGCAGCGGCAGCACAGGGCAAGACCCAGGCCCAGAGCCAAGCACAGCCCAGCUCAGAUCCCAGAGUGUGCUGAAACAGCCUGCCACACGCUUUGUGGUUCCAACUGUGGGAAAUGUGAGCGACCGUACAGUAAGAUCCAAAAAUGACUAGGUUAGCGGUUUGAGAUUAUCCAUUUAAAUUUUUUAUGUUAACGCCUCAAAACAUGAACUACAGAACAAAGGCCCUGCUCCAGAACAGCAGGCCCUUCCCACGGUGCCCACUGCUCUGCCACGCCCCCGGAACAGUCGAAACAUCUACACCCAAGAAGCAACCGUCUGACUCCACAGGGCCCUCCCCAGGGCCCCUCCCCGGGGCCCACCUUGCCCCCGUCUUGGGUGUGACAGUGCCAGCUAUCAGGGCCAUAGGCUCUGGCCAGUGGCACCCGCAGACUCAGCUGUUUGCUAUGGCAGCAGGGCCCUGUGAACCCACACUACAGCUGGCAGGAAGACCCUGUGGAGCUGCCUCCCAGAGCCCCCUGCCCGCAGCUGUGCCGUGCUCGGGACUCGAUUCUAGGUGCGGAGUGCCCGGCAGUGCUCAGUGAGGCCAGAGGCUGCAGAAUCCCGGCUCCGGCUCAGCCCCUUCCAUCGGUGCGAGGAGGGUGGGGGAGGGAGGUCACGGCUGGCAUCUGGGCAGCUCUCCAGGCCACCCUGCAUGCCCACAGCACCUCACCGGUGCCCUGACGCAAGCCACGCUCUGUCCAGGAUGUCCAGGCUCCCUGGGGGGUCUGGGGGCCUCUGCAGACCCUGGGCUUGCCACCAGCACAGCAGUGUUUCCUGAACACUUAGGAAGGCACCAAGAGCCGUCUGAAGCACUCUGUGUGCUGUCUUAUGCAGCCUGCACAACACUCGAAACAGGACUGCUGUACAGAUGGGGAAACCGAGGCACAGGGCAGUUAAGUGCCUCGCUUAAGGCCACUCAGCGAGCACCCCCUGGAGCUGCAGUGUACAGCAGUGCCGCUCAAGAGCACCAGUUUCCCAGGCAAGUGCGUGGUGUCGGCGAAAAGCCUGGACAAGGUGUACGCACCAGCGUGGGGCUGCUGAGGCGCCAGCCUGGCAGGCCCAGGGGAUCCACGGAGGAGUCACUGCUCAAGUCCAUGGCUCGCUCACUCCAGCUUACCAAGGUCAGCUUACUGGUCUGAGAGGACACGGUGGGGGCAGGAGGGACAGGGACGGGACAAGAGGCCUUGUGGAGAGUCUCCCCUGCCUAGCCCACCGAGGGAGGAAAGGGCCAGCCAGCCGGAUCUCACCUGGAAGUUCUCAGCAAUGCGUGCCGGCGUCACGGACUUGGGAAUCACCACCAGGUUCCUCUGCAUGGGGAACCGGAUCAGAACCUGUGGACGCAGGGGGGUGCCGAGUGUGGACAUGCAGCAGGCGCGCUGCUCAGUCACCACUCUCAGCGGUGCACACACAGAACCCGAAAAAGAGGGGGGCACACCAGAACUGCACAGGAAAGAACAGCAGCACUCAGAGACGUCCUGGCCACACCCAUUCACGGCGGGGGGCGGGGGGCACCUGCAGGUCCGGCUCUGAGUCCGAGUCCUGCUCUUAGCCGCUGUCUGUGUAGUCAUGAGACCACAACGAGACUGGUCACGCCCGGAGCUCAUCCUGCCACGUUCUCACGCAACUGAAAAGGAGGGCUCGCUCAUCUUUUCCCAGAGAUGGGCUUCCACGUAAAUUAACAAAUGCUGACUCCCGUGGCAGCCUGCAGGGCAGGUGCUGCGUCUCUAAGACCGCAUGGCAGAAUCCUCUCAAGUCCUAACCGGUGCCCUUCCCCCGUGCACACUCCAGGACUGCAAAGCACACUUCCAGGGAGGGCUUGACGGAAUGACAGGCACCACCAAGAAUGUGGGGGGCUCCAGGCAGGCUCACAAGCACCUGGAGGCGGCUGUACCUGGGCGGUGGUUUUUUUGUGCUUGUCUGCAAUUGCCUUGAUCCUGGGGUCUUCCAGGAGGGAAGGGUCCUCGGGCUUGGCCCUGGAGCAGAGAGACGGUUCAAGUCCACAACGGUCAUCGCCACCGCUGCGGGCAGCCAGCAGCCCUCACCCCAGCGUGCCCAUUGGCUUCAGGACAGCCUGCCAGUCUCCUCCGGGCCUACGGCUAGAUUAUAAACGCCCAGCCCUUUGGAAAAAAGAGCAGGCAUCUUGCUGUAAGAGACUCAGCCCUCCCAGGAAACCCAAGAGGCUCCACGGAAGGUCUGUAGAUGCACCCCAGAAGCAUCUUCCUCAACGCUAGGCUUUUCCUUUUAGCCAUUUCUGAUUUCACUGAGUGACAAGUGGCCCCAGGGAACACGCACCAGGGCCUGUCGGGAGAGCCGAGGGGACUGUAGGCAGUGACCACGAUGCCUUUGGAGUGGCAGUACUGGAUUAAUUUCUCCUGAGUUAGGUACGGGUGGCACUCGAUCUGCAAACAAAACAGCAGGGGCUGAUGAUGGCACCGUGGGUCUAAGUUAUGUGACACAGGCAGCUUCCUCAGGCUGAGUCCCGCCCCUCCCCACCCAGACAACCUUGCCUAACAAAAGUCUGACGUCCCAGAUAAGCUGUAACAACUUUAUACAUUUCCCAGCUAGUGUGCUGGACAAGAGAACAAUAAUCUCAUUACCAAUGUUCUAUGGCCACAGGCCCCAAGGGCAUUUCCUGGCUUUGGUCAUUUUUCAACCGUCACAGGCUGGGGGAUCUCAAUGGCUGUGCACUGCUCAUCUGUCAGAACCCUGGGUCAGCACAGGCCAGGCUCAAACCCCGUCUCUCUGCGCGUUCCCACUCUCCCACGCGGUGACACGCCGGGUCAGAACUCAGGACACUGCCGGAGCCCAGGAGCCGCUCCCGGCCACUCUCUGGGGGUGGGGGACAUGAAGGAGCAGCCGCCCCGGGGGAGGUUUACCUGGUUAACUGCCGGCUUGUAUUUUAAGCCCGGCUUGUUUAGGAUCCUCUCGAUCUGCAGAUGGUUGAAAUUGGAGACGCCGAUAGACUUCACGAGCCCUUUGUCCACCAGCCCCUCCAUGGCCUAAGGAGAACAGAGGGUCUGUCUGCUGCGGCAGUGAGCCCCAAAGGACAGGGGCAGAGCACCCUCCACACCAGUCGGUUCCACGGGUCCUGCCCUCCUUAUCAGCAAAGUGCACUUUCCAGAAGGCAGGGGACAGGCCCGCUCACACCUGUGCCCUCCCAGGGACAGGCAACCAGCAAGGAAGGGCACACGACCCGCCUGCCAGGGUCUUACCUCCCACGUGUCCAGAAAGUCAGUGUCGCUGGGAAUCACGUUGCCCGCCGCAUCCAGGGGGAAAUACUCACUGCCGUGCUGUGGUGACAGGCAGAAACAAAACAGUGAACAGCAGCCCUUCGCAGGAAACAGGCAGGCAAGCCCUGAUGUCCUGAGGUCAAGCUGAGCCCGCUGGGCAGAGAUGUGUCCAGGUCUCGAUCACACAGACUAACCCCAGCAUAGGCCGCAGUGUGGGGGAGGGGAAGGAGCCCAGAGCGGACCCACGGGGCCCAAGCCCUGGCAGGGUUCCUGGCUAAUAAAAGUACUACCUUGCCAAGCCUCAUGAGCUCAAGAAAAACAAAGGAUGAAAGCCAAGUGCACUCAGACCCCAACAGGCCACAGUGCAGCAGCACAGAGCCACAGGAUAGGACCCAGGCACUUUCAACGUGGCCGGCCAAGCAGAAAGCUGGGCCGGCCGUAGGAAGGAGGGGAAGGAGUCGGUCACUCUAGGGUCCUUCCUGAGCAGAGAAGCGGGCUGUGGACGUUUCCACCGGGUGGGGUGUGCGGGCAGUGCAGGACACACACACGUACUGUGUGAGCACAGGUGCACCUGUGUGCCGGGCCUGGGGCAGGGAAGGACAAGCGCUGAUUGUCCUUUGCGGCCAUGGGGAUAGCAGCUGUUUGCUGUCAGGAAGGGCUGGGAUUCGGAUGGCUCGGUGGGGUCUGAGACUGAUUUCUAACAAGCUCCUAGGUGAUGCCAUUGCUGCUGGUCCACGGGCCUCACC